AGUUUUACCGGAAGUCAUUAUGACUUUGAGUAAAUCUUGAGUAGUCAAGAAUUCAAUUCGACGAAAAAUCCUUUUGAAAAAACAGGUAUUUUUUCGGAAGAAGCAAGGAGAUCGAGGCGGCNAGCUUUCGAGCAGCGGAGUGUAUGUUUAAGGAUACAUGAGCAGCGCAGAAAAGCGAAGCCAACGAAGAGAUCNGCAGCUUAUUACGGAAAAAUUAGGUUAAGUUAGAAAGGGCGCACGGUGAAUGCCUUGGCACUAGGAGCCGACGAAGGACGCGACGAACAGCGAUAUGCCUCGGGGAGUUGUAAGUAAACUUUGAUCCGGGGAUUUCCGAAUGGGGGAACCCACCAUCCGUAAUGGGAUGGUAUCCAUAUCUGAAUACAUAGGGUAUGAGAAGGGUACGACCGCAAGGUUGAAACUCAAAGGAAUUGACGGGGGCCCGCACAAGCAGUGGAGCAUGUGGUUUAAUUCGAAGCAACGCGAAGAACCUUACCAGGUCUUGACAUCCUUAUGACCUCCCUAGAGAUAGGGAUUUCCCUUCGGGGACAUAAGUGACAGGUGGUGCAUGGUUGUCGUCAGCUCGUGUCGUGAGAUGUUGGGUUAAGUCCCGCAACGAGCGCAACCCUUGAUCUUAGUUGCCAGCAUUUAGUUGGGCACUCUAAGGUGACUGCCGGUGACAAACCGGAGGAAGGUGGGGAUGACGUCAAAUCAUCAUGCCCCUUAUGACCUGGGCUACACACGUGCUACAAUGGAUGGUACAAAGGGCUGCGAAACCGCGAGGUUGAGCCAAUCCCAUAAAGCCAUUCUCAGUUCGGAUUGUAGGCUGCAACUCGCCUACAUGAAGCCGGAAUUGCUAGUAAUCGCGGAUCAGCAUGCCGCGGUGAAUACGUUCCCGGGCCUUGUACACACCGCCCGUCACACCACGAGAGUUUGUAACACCCGAAGUCGGUGGGGUAACCUUUUUGGAGCCAGCCGCCUAAGGUGGGACAGAUGAUUGGGGUGAAGUCGUAACAAGGUAGCCGUAUCGGAAGGUGCGGCUG
rnacentral:rRNA from 1 species